rnacentral:tRNA from 1 species
GGUCGCAUGGUGUAGUGGUUAUCACGUUUCGUUUACACCGAAAAGGUCGCAGGUUCAAGCCCUGCUGCGAUCA